rnacentral:rRNA from 1 species
AGAGUUUGAUCCUGGCUCAGGACGAACGCUGGCGGCGUGCCUAAUACAUGCAAGUCGAACGGUCUUUUCUAUGGAAGCUUGCUUCCACUGAGAAGAUAGUGGCGAACGGGUGAGUAACACGUGGGUAACCUGCCCAUAAGAGGGGGAUAACAUCCGGAAACGGGUGCUAAUACCGCAUAGUUUUCUUGAUCGCAUGAUCGGGAAAGGAAAGACGGCCUUUGUGCUGUCGCUUAUGGAUGGACCCGCGGCGUAUUAGUUAGUUGGUGAGGUAACGGCUCACCAAGACGAUGAUACGUAGCCGACCUGAGAGGGUGAUCGGCCACAUUGGGACUGAGACACGGCCCAAACUCCUACGGGAGGCAGCAGUAGGGAAUCUUCCGCAAUGGACGAAAGUCUGACGGAGCAACGCCGCGUGAGUGAAGAAGGUUUUCGGAUCGUAAACCUCUGUUGUCAGAGAAGAACAAGUUGGAGAGUAACUGCUCCAGCCUUGACGGUAUCUGACCAGAAAGCCACGGCUAACUACGUGCCAGCAGCCGCGGUAAUACGUAGGUGGCAAGCGUUGUCCGGAUUUAUUGGGCGUAAAGCGAGCGCAGGCGGUUCCUUAAGUCUGAUGUGAAAGCCCACGGCUCAACCGUGGAAGGUCAUUGGAAACUGGGGAACUUGAGUGCAGAAGAGGAGAGUGGAAUUCCAUGUGUAGCGGUGAAAUGCGUAGAUAUAUGGAGGAACACCAGUGGCGAAGGCGACUCUCUGGUCUGUAACUGACGCUGAGGCUCGAAAGCGUGGGGAGCAAACAGGAUUAGAUACCCUGGUAGUCC